rnacentral:tRNA from 1 species
GCUCGCGUGAUGGAAUUGGUAGACAUAACGGACUUAAAAUCCGUAGGCAAUGAUUGCCGUGCCGGUUCAAGUCCGGCCGCGAGUACCA